AGCUCCAAUAGCGUAUAUUAAAGUUGCUGCGUUUAAAACGCUCGUAGUUUGAUACUGGGUGCGGGACGGUAGGUGGCAUCCAUUGCGGUGUCCGAUAAACUGAGACUCUGUUGCCGCGUCUUCGGGCACCGAAAGGGGCUUCGUUGGCGGGUUCUCAGGGUAACCUAAACCCCACAAUCUGAAUCAUAUCGAGUGCUCUUCACUGAGUUGCUCGUGAUGGUCAGGAACGUUUACUUUGAGAAAACAGGAGCGAUCAAAGCAGGCAUCUCGUUGGCCAAUGAACGAGUGAUGCAUGGAAUAAUGGAACAGGACCUUGGCCCUGUUGUGUUGGUUUAGGGUGCUAAGGUAAUGAUUAAUAGAGGCAGGGCGGGGUCAGCUGUAUUGCGUGGGGAGAGGUGAAAUUCUUGGAUCCUCGCACGACGACCAGAGGCGAAAGCAUUUGUCUAGGAUGUUUUCA
rnacentral:rRNA from 1 species